rnacentral:lncRNA from 1 species
AGGCGCGGCGAGGCGGGUGGCGCGCGGCAGCAGGGUUGGGCUCUCGCCGUGAGUCGACGAAGGGAGCGCGGGCGCGCGCCCGCGUCCGCGCACUGAGAGUCGCCUCGGCCGCUCGCUUUCUCGACUCCCGCCUCGCGCCUCGAUCCUGUUCCGCCUCCCUCGGCCCUCCUGCCCGCCCCCACUCGUCGGCCCUCAGGUACCUAAAAUGUCUCAUUAUUCAUCAAUUAAUGAAAAACAAAUGAAAAUUUGAGAGAGAUAUUCUGAAGAAUAAAAGGAUCAAGUUGGGUCAUUUCUAAAAUCUCAGAGACCUAAUAGGAUGGGGUCUUAGAGAAACAUCUUUUGAGCCACAGACUUCUUUGUUACCAGAAGGAAAAUGAAAGAAGAAAUUUAAAUACCACUUGAAGAGAGGUGAGAACCCUUUGUUAAGCUGUGUAACCUCUGUGCAUAGUUUCCUCAUCAGCAAAGUCAGAAAAAGUAUGUACCUGAAGGACUGAUUGUAAGGCUGGGAUGAGAGAAUCCAUGUGAUCAGCCCUCACCAACAGGUGCUGCCCAGUUCAUGAGUGCUGCUGCUGUCCUGCCCAAGUACCCAGCUUGCAGAGUGCCAGAGUUAGAGUCCCAGGGGUGUUCUCCACAGCUGCAUGCUUGAUCCAGGCCUAUCAGAUAUAUUCCAUUGAAAGUCCUCAUUCUCAAAUUUAAAACAAAGACUUUUUGUGUACCUCAAUAGCAAUGCACACACAGUUGGCUUCACAAACAUAUUGUACAUUUCUUUUUUUCAUAUUUAUUCAACAAAUGUAUAUUGACUACCCACCGUGUGACAGGUGUUAUUUGUUGACGGAACCAGGCAUCAUCAGCAAACAAAACUGACAAAGCUUCCUGCCCUCUGUGGAAGGCAUCUGAGGAAGAGACUGGAUUUUGUAGCAACAUGUUAUUCUCAUUAUAAACUUUAUCAUUGGAAUACUAAAGCCAAAUCAUCCCCCAUCUCCUUGAUCAGGAUACCCACUUAAUCUAGGCAGCUACACAAUUGUGAGAGCCUUUGUUUUUUUCUGCUGAAACAUCCUUAAAAAGAUACCUCACAACCCAAGAUUUGGCUUUUCUUAAAUACGAUUUUUAAUUUUUUUCAUUUCUAUCUAGAGAUUUAAUUGGAAAUGGAAAAUCAUCAAUUUUCCAAUUAAAUGUCUGUUCCAAUCAACAUUAUACCUUUUAGGUUGUCAUUGUCAUUUUUAAGUUUAAGCAACUUUAAGGAUUUUGAAUCUGGCUGCCUGUAAAUUAAAGGUGAAAGUAAUCAUUGUGUUGGAUUGGAACAUUUUGUCAAUUGAGAGUGGUUUCCUUGUUCUUAGUGUAUGAAAAGUUUAUUUUUCUAAUGUAGAUUAAUAAAGGAGAUAAAGAAAAACAAAA